rnacentral:rRNA from 1 species
GAUGAACGCUGGCGGCGUGCCUAAUACAUGCCAGUCGAGCGAACAGAUGAGGAGCUUGCUCCUCUGACGUUAGCGGCGGACGGGUGAGUAACACGUGGAUAACCUACCUAUAAGACUGGGAUAACUUCGGGAAACCGGAGCUAAUACCGGGUAAUAUAUUGAACCGCAUGGUUCAAUAGUGAAAGACGGUUUUGCUGUCACUUAUAGAUGGAUCCGCGCCGCAUUAGCUAGUUGGUGAGGUAACGGCUUACCAAGGCAACGAUGCGUAGCGGACAUGAGAGGGUGAUUGGCCACACUGGAACUGAGACACGGCCCAGACUCCUACGGUAGGCAGCAGUAGGGAAUCUUCCGCAAUGGGCGAAAGCCUGACGGUGCAACGCCGCGUGAGUGAUGAAGGUCUUCGGAUCGUAGAACUCUGUUAUUAGGGAAGAACAAAUGUGUAAGUAACUAUGCACGUCUUGACGGUACCUAAUCAGAAAGCCACGGCUAACUACGUG